AUAUUUAAAUUCAGAGGAAAAAGUCCUAUAACCAAGGAGGAAGCAGAAAUGUGAUCCAGAAGGGAAACCAGAAGGGGGCCUGGCAGAAAGACAAUGGUGGUUCCUCCCUCAGGACACACUCCUGUUUCCACAGCUUCACAUCCAAUUGCAGAUGUUUCUGGGUCCUGUGAACUUGGGCAGACACUAGAAAUGACUGUAUUUUGUAAGAGUGUGAAGCAACGUGAAUAAUUCGAUCAGCAGUUUAGCUGGAGAGGAUUCUGUGCACCACACCUCUUCUAAGCUGUCAACUCAUUGUAUAGCACCCACCUAACUUCAGGGCUCCGGGGGCUUUUGCCGUUAUCCUCAUGGAACUGGGGAAUCGCUCAGAAGGAUCCUUUCCUGACUCGCUGUCCAGCAGGCACGAUGGAUGGCUCGGCUCAGUGCUGGAUGCAGUUCCUAUGCAAAAGGGAGGAGCACCAACAACAGCACUCACCUGAGCUGGAGCUUCUGCCUUUAUGCCCUCUAGAUUAACUACCACUCCACCAUGUCUUGUCAGCUCUCUGCUGUAUGAAGUAGCCAUUUGGGGGCUGCCUUACCAUACUCCUCAACUCUCCAAAUUGCAGUUGGGGUUGGCUGAAGCCAGACAGCAGGAAGAGCAGUCAGACAGCAGAGAGGCUGGGCUCCUCUCUCCCUGCAGCCAUCACUGAAUUCCUUCACCUGUGACCAUAGCCUUUACAUUUUGACUCCUCUCCCAAAGGCUCACCAAAG
rnacentral:lncRNA from 1 species